GCGGAAGUAGCUCAGUUGGUAGAGCACGACCUUGCCAAGGUCGGGGUCGCGAGUUCGAGUCUCGUCUUCCGCU
rnacentral:tRNA from 4 species